GAUGAAGAACGUAGCGAAAUGCGAUAAGUAAUGUGAAUUGCAGAAUUCAGUGAAUCAUCGAAUCUUUGAACGCACCUUGCGCCCUUUGGCCAUUCCGAAGGGCGUGCCUGUUUGAGUAUCAUGAACACCUCAACUCUUCAUGGUUUUCCAUGAUGAGCUUGGACUUUGGGGGUCUUGCUGGCCUGUGGGUCGGCUCCUCUCAAAUGAAUCAGCUUGCCGGUUUUUGGUGGGCAUCACAGGUGUGAUAACUAUCUACGCUUGUGGUUUUCCACCAGGGUAACCUUCAGCAGUGGAGGUUCACUGGAGCUUACAAAUGUCUCUCCUCUGUGAGGACAGCCCUUUGAAUGUUUGAUCUCAAAUCAGGUAGGACUACCCGCUGAACUUAAGCAUAUCAAUAAGCGGAGGA
rnacentral:misc_RNA from 1 species